rnacentral:rRNA from 1 species
CGGGGUGGAGUAAUGCUUGGGAAUCUAGCUUAUGAGGGGGGUAACGUAUGGGAAACUGUAGCUAAUACCGCGUAGAAUCGGGAGAUGAAAGUGUGGGACCUUCGGGCCACAUGCCAUAGGAUGAGCCCAAGUGGGAUUAGGUAGUUGGUGAGGUAAAGGCUCACCAAGCCGACGAUCUCUAGCUGGUCUGAGAGGAUGACCAGCCACACUGGGACUGAGACACGGCCCAG